AGAGUGGGUCUGAGCAGCCGCACUUCCGGUUCAGGUUCACUCUGCUUCCUGGGAUCAGGUGCUAUGUGACUCCCCUCCCCCUCUGCUCUUGCUUCCGUGCCUCCUGCUUCGGCGUUUCUCUGUCCUGAUGGACUUGUCCUAGAACUAUGAGCCGUGAUAAAGCCGCUGCUUUUGUCUGAGCAUUUUUAUCACAGUGAUGGAAAGGGCCUGUGAAAGGGGCAUUGAGAAGUGCUGUUCUCGACAGAUGAACACACCAUGGAAGCUUACGUGUCUCCUGCACAAAUCAGUGGUGCCCACAUCAUCCAGAGACCAUGGAUAGGAAGACGCAGCAUGCAAAGACAAUGGGAAUUUUUUCAGCCAUGAAGAAUAAUGAAGUUGUAUCACUUGCAGGAAAAUGGAUGUGACUAGAGAUACUCAUACUAAGAGAAUAAAGGCUGUCUCAGGAAGAUAGCAUGGGCUUUACUUAUAUGUAGU
rnacentral:lncRNA from 1 species